rnacentral:rRNA from 1 species
GAUGAACGCUGGCGGCGUGCCUAACACAUGCAAGUCGAACGAGAUGCGUAUUGGAAAGCUUCGGCCGGAAGAUGCGUUAUCUAGUGGCGGACGGGUGAGUAACACGUGGGUAACCUGCCUUAUGGAGGGGGAUAACAGAGAGAAAUCACUGCUAAUACCGCAUAAGCACACAUUGCCGCAUGGUAGAGUGUGAAAAGAUUUAUCGCCAUAAGAUGGACCCGCGUCUGAUUAGCCAGUUGGCAGGGUAAAAGCCUACCAAAGCAACGAUCAGUAGCCGAUCUGAGAGGAUGACCGGCCACAUUGGGACUGAGACACGGCCCAAACUCCUACGGGAGGCAGCAGUGGGGAAUAUUGCACAAUGGGGGAAACCCUGAUGCAGCGACGCCGCGUGAGUGAAGAAGUAUUUCGGUAUGUAAAGCUCUAUCAGCAGGGAAGAUAAUGACAGUACCUGACUAAGAAGCCCCGGCUAACUACGUGCCAGCAGCCGCGGUAAUACGUAGGGGGCAAGCGUUAUCCGGAUUUACUGGGUGUAAAGGGAGCGUAGACGGAAUGGCAAGUCUGAAGUGAAAACCCCGGGCUCAACCUGGGGACUGCUUUGGAAACUGUUGUUCUAGAGUGUUGGAGAGGUAAGUGGAAUUCCUGGUGUAGCGGUGAAAUGCGUAGAUAUCAGGAAGAACACCGGAGGCGAAGGCGGCUUACUGGACAAUAACUGACGUUGAGGCUCGAAAGCGUGGGGAUCAAACAGG